GACGAACCGUGCGAACGUUGUUCGGAAUCACUGGGCUUAAAGGGCGCGUAGGCGGGCUGCCAAGUCUGGGGUGAAAUCCUCCGGCUCAACCGGGGAAGUGCCUCGGAUACUGGCGGCCUCGAGGGGGGUAGGGGCAUGCGGAACUGUGGGUGGAGCGGUGAAAUGCGUUGAUAUCCACAGGAACUCCGGUGGCGAAGGCGGCAUGCUGGACCUUCACUGACGCUGAGGCGCGAAAGCCAGGGGAGCGAACGGG
rnacentral:rRNA from 1 species